UAGCUAUUCGCAAAGGGGGCGUUGCAUCGCAGUUGCAGAGUCAUUGUUACCCUCUGCCGUGUUGCAGGCGUAUUUGCCACUUCCAUCGCAGCUCGUUGGUGGCGGCAGUUUUCCUCCUUGUUGGCUGGGCUCUGAAACAUAAACAAGAUGUCAAUCCCUUCUACGGUGAAAUUAACAGCCAUACUGUUGGUAACACUCUCACUGUUGCGGACAGGACUCGGCUUUGAAAUGUUAUGUGGGAAUCCCAGGAAAGAGGACGGAGGCAUCCUGUGACGGGGGAUCCUGUUCGAAGAUAUAUACUGAAAUGAGUGGGGCUGGGGCUGAAAUUACUUAUCAGUGUGAGAAAAUCCGCCAAAUAGAACGUUGCACCACUAUAAUAACAGACGUCACCUUGGAAGUGUGCUUCUGCAACACUGACCUUUGCAACGGCUGCGGUGCCCUCGGCCUAGGCCUACCGCUCCUCUUGGUGCCGCUCCUUGCUCAGGUGUUAGUGGGAGCCUGAGGUCGUUUCGAUGCUCUUCGUGAAGAGUCUGUACGACCAACUGGAUUCAGCCGUCUCCACCUCCAUCAUUCAUCAUCAUUUGUCUGGGAUAUUUAUGCCGACCAAAGAACGGUGAUAAUUUUAGUGAGUUUCUUUACCUCCAGUGACUGGAAUGUGUCCUAAUAAAGUAUCAUACCUCAUUUCCUGGGUUUGUCCAUCUUUCGCUUAGAAAUUUCAUUGAAUAUGAUAUAACUACAAUAAAGACCUAAUCACCAUUCGAACAAAA